UACGGAGGGGGCAAGCGUUGUCCGGAAUCAUUGGGCGUAAAGCGCGUGUAGGCGGCCAGAAAAGUCCGCUGUGAAAACUCGAGGCUCAACUUCGAGCUGUCGGUGGAAACUUUCUGGCUAGAGUCCGGAAGAGGAGAAUGGAAUUCCUGGUGUAGCGGUGAAAUGCGCAGAUAUCGGGAGGAACACCAAUGGCGAAGGCAGCUCGCUGGGACGGUACUGACGCUGAGACGCGAAAGCGUGGGGAGCAAACAGG
rnacentral:rRNA from 1 species